AAAUGAAUAGACGGGGACCCGCACAAGCAGUGGAGUAUGUGGUUUAAUUCGAAGCAACGCGAAGAACCUUACCAGGGCUUGACAUCCCUCGCAAUCGCCAGAGAUGGUGAGUUCCCUUCGGGGACGAGGAGACAGGUGGUGCAUGGUUGUCGUCAGCUCGUGUCGUGAGAUGUUCGGUUAAGUCCGGCAACGAGCGCAACCCCUAUUGUCUGUUACUACCAUUAAGUUGAGGACUCAGACGAGACCGCCGUUGAGAAAACGGAGGAAGGUGGGGACGACGUCAAAUCAUCAUGCCCCUUAUGUCCUGGGCUACACACGUACUACAAUGGUACCCACAGCAGGCAGCGAAGGCGCGAGCCGGAGCGAAUCCCCAAAGGGUGUCCCAGUUCAGAUUGCAGGCUGCAACUCGCCUGCAUGAAGCAGGAAUUGCUAGUAAUGGCAGGUCAGCAUACUGCCGUGAAUACGUUCCCGGGUCUUGUACACACCGCCCGU
rnacentral:rRNA from 1 species